GACGAACGCUGGCGGCGUGCUUAACACAUGCAAGUCGAACGGUAAGGCCCUUCGGGGUACACGAGUGGCGAACGGGUGAGUAACACGUGGGUGAUCUGCCCUGCACUUCGGGAUAAGCCUGGGAAACUGGGUCUAAUACCGGAUAGGACUCCUGGCUUCAUGGUUGGGGGUGGAAAGCUUUUGCGGUGUGGGAUGGGCCGGCGGCCUGUCAGCUUGUUGGUGGGGUAAUGGCCUACCAAGGCGACGACGGGUAGCCGGCCUGAGAGGGUGACCGGUCACACUGGGACUGAGAUACGGCCCAGACUCCUACGGGAGGCAGCAGUGGGGAAUAUUGCACAAUGGGCGCAAGCCUGAUGCAGCGACGCCGCGUGAGGGAUGACGGCCUUCGGGUUGUAAACCUCUUUCAGCUAUGACGAAGCGCAAGUGACGGUAGUAGCAGAAGAAGGACCGGCCAACUACGUGCCAGCCGCCGCAGUAA
rnacentral:rRNA from 1 species